rnacentral:rRNA from 1 species
UACGUAGGGAGCAAGCGUUGUCCGGAAUCAUUGGGCGUAAAGCGCGCGUAGGUGGCCUCAUAAGUCCGCUGUGAAAGUCAAAGGCUCAACCUUUGAAAGCCGGUGGAUACUGUGAGGCUAGAGUACGGAAGAGGCGAGUGGAAUUCCUGGUGUAGCGGUGGAAUGCGCAGAUAUCAGGAGGAACACCAAUAGCGAAGGCAGCUCGCUGGGACGUUACUGACGCUAAGGCGCGAAAGCGUGGGGAGCAAACAGG